GUGAUUAAUAAUGCAGAAGAAGAAAGCCUGAGAGUUAUUGUGCUGUGUGGGUUCUGGGAGGCAGCAAUCAUUGCACUGGGCUAACAAGUUCCAGAAAUGGUCCAAACAGACUUCAACAAUUCUGUGCUAAAAUGAUGGUCUUGUGAGGAGGAUUCAAGCUCAUCUGUACUUUAUCACCACCUCUGCCUCCUGUAGAUCAAACAGCCAGAGGUUCCUGUUUCUUCAAGAGGCCUGCAACCACCCCACCCCUGAAGGCCAAUGAUAAGUAGUUGUGGAAAAUGGAUCUCUGACUAUCCAGUCUCUUAAGAUUAAGAAAUGGAUGUCUGAGGGAGAAGAUGAGGGCAGUAUGUGCUAUGGCUGUACUGGCUGGUUCUGUGUGUCAACUUGACUUAUGUUAAGAAUCAUCGGAGAGGAAGGAGCCUCGGUUGAGAAAAUGCCUCCAUGAGAUCCAGCUGUAAGACAUUUUCUCAAUUAGUGAUUGAUGUGGGAGAAAGCAAGCUGAGCAAGCCAUGGGAAGCAAGCCAGUCAGCAGCACCCCUCCAUGACCUGUGCAUCAGCUCCUGCCUCCAGGUUCCAGCCCUGCAUGAGUUCCUGUCUUGAAUUCCUACAAAGAUGAACUGUGAUCUGAAAGUACAAGCCAAAUAAACCCUUUCCUCCCC